GCACGUACAGAUUAUGCCUCUCUCCUGCUCGGGUGUCGGGGGCGGUUGUUUGUUUUCGGUGGCGAGGAGGCGGCGGGGGGGUGUGGGGGGGGGGAGAAAGCCUUUCCACGCAAACAGGUCCAAGCAGAGGCUCCCCAGCCACAUGGGAGACCGCAGCGGCGGCCCCGGCGCGCAGCCGGCAUUUCGCCCCUAACUUUACAACCGGGGGGGAAUUGGGCUGCCGUUCUCCCUUCCCUCCUCCUGGCUCUCCGCGGAGUUGCGUUCAACCGCCGCCUGUGACAUUACCGCGGUUAAACGAGACGCUCCCUUCAUUUAUUUAUUUAUCUGCCGCCUCCCUCCAACACCCCCCCCCCCGCUUCCUCUCUUACCGAUGUGGAUGAUGGAGUCCGCCCGCACCGAAACGCACUGAAAUAUCCAGGGGAAAAGCCAGAGCAUCAACACUUCCAUUUCCAGCCUCUCGCACAGCACAUCAGCUCGGGUUUAGCGGAGAGACAGACAGGGGGAAAGAAGAAAAAAAGGCGCAAGGGCAGGUGGAGCACGGCAGCGGGCGCGGGGGGGAGAUGCCCAGACGCCCCCCCUUAGAAAAAAAUCCCAAAUUCCCCCAGCGCCCCGAGAAUUUUCCAAGCUUGAGGAAGACGGGCGGCGGGGAGAGGAAAAGAAAAAAGAAAAACCAAAACCGCCGGGGCUCAAAAAGCACGGAGGUAGAUCCCGGGUUGGCAGGCGGCGCGGCGGAGCCUCCGGCGCUCGGUGUGUGCCGGGGCGCCGGCAGACCGCGAACUGCGGAGCGGCCCCCCCGCCGCCGCCGCCCGCCCCCCGCGCCACGUGACUGCGGAGCCUCGGCGCUCGGUGCCGCCGGGGCACGGCGCGGCGGCGGGGCGCGGGCAGCGGGGCGCCCGGCACGGAGGGGAGCUGGCGGCUCCGCGAGGAAGCGGGAUGGCUGUGCGAGAACGGGGAAAUUAAUUGCAAUUAAGCGUACUCAGAUAACACCCGGCAUUACGGACGGCUUUCAAUGAAAUCUAAUUCAUAAAUUGGACAUGCUCAGGCUCAGAAGACUAAUUCAUCCCCUAAAACAAACGCAUCAGUGAUUGCAGGCACCCAAACGUGACAAGCGUCUCAAUAUGCCAAGGAUCCAGAGAAAACAAAUUCAUUCAGGAGCCCGAAACGUAAUUAAAACUACUGCCAAGAAAAUGAGUUGGGAGCAGGAUGUUACCAAGAUUAUUAAGUUGCUGCGGGGCUGAGGCACGGACCGCGAUAGCGAUACAUAUAGAUAAUGUCAGCAUGUGGAUAACAGGAGGCAGAGCGAUUCCCGGAGGUCGCCGUCUCGCAAGCACAAGUCGAGUAACAGAGCGCUGUGGCCGCAUCCUGCUCCCGGGAGGCAACGCCAGAGCUCAGAGCCUCGGCGGGGGACGGAUCAGGCCCCCGCCAGCUUCACCCCGGCAGCCUGUCCACAGAGGGGCCAAGGGCCCCGUUUCCCCCUGCCGUUACACCGGCCCCGCCAUGUAAAUUCAGCACACUUUUUAUAACCGUCACCUGUACACGGGCUCCUGAAUUCUCCAGCUACUUGGCGUUGCUUGCCUGCAGGAGAGAUGGCUGCGACGUAUUUAUUUGGUAUAGAAAACGUUUUUUUCAUGCAGAGCACACUAUGGCAAAAACUGCUUAAUGCUAAGGAGUGGGAAAUAUAGAUAAGCUUUACAAUGGCUGGGGAGGCCGAAGGGGGAGGGAACACAGUAUAGAUGGAGCAGAGUGAAAGGGAAGGAAGCUGAAAUGGAAAUGAUAUGAACAAGAAUCCCCGUCGAUCCACAUGCGUCAACAGCCUCCUAUUCAGUGGUAGUUACAAGCACAGCUUUUGAACAGGGAAAAGCGGGGGGUAAAUAAAACAAGAUAUACUUUUUAAAAAUAAAUCACUUGUUAACUACUCCUACUUACAGUCCUUGUCUUAAAUAUGCAAUUUCACACUGAUCAAUGCAGAAUGAUAUAUGCUAUAUGCUGUAUAUCAUGUAAUAAAAACACUUAAUCCAGAUAAUUGGCUUCUGGGACAAAGAUCAAUAGAAAUGUUCCUUAUUUGACUACGUUAGCAAGUCAAAAUUAAUUCUAAUUUACAUUUGCUUCAAAUCAAUAUGCACUUAGUGACUUACACAGGCUCUUUAAAAAGUUAAGCACCUAUAUUGACCACACUCAUAUACAUGUCACUAACAAGUACAUGUAUGGGAAUUAGAGAGGGGGGAAGUGUUACCACAGAACCAAUCUCUGACUUCCAUAUAGGAAAGGAGGUUAAAUUUAUUUGUGUUUGAAAAGUUCUUUGGCAUCCUAGCCUGAAACCUGUAGAAAUAUGCAGCUAUUAAACCCGCGAUUUAUACAGGCGUCCAAACACCAGUCAGUUACACUGCAAGCACUUGGGAGCAGGCUUGCCUCUUAGUUAAGUUUGUACAGCGAGGUCUUCACUUCAGAUGGGAUGCCUCUGGCUGCUGUUUUAAUAACAGUAAAAUAGUAAUAUAAAAUAUUAAAAAUCUAAACCCAGUGAAUUGGACAAGUUACAAAAUUUCCUCUGAAAUCCCCAAGCAAACACUGCAUGCAGAAAAGGAUCCAGUCCCAGCCAAAAGGGGGGAAAAAAGGACGGGCCCACAGAAUGCUACAAAACAGACCAACUGAAAGGGCAGAAGGCUAUUUGGCACAGCCAGAGGACAACAACAAAUGAGGAAAACGCCUAGAACAAUUCUCAAAUGCCAUAAAACCUGAUUUGUAACAUGCAAAGUACAAUGAGACCUAAAUGGAUCCACCACACCAAGGAGAACUGCAACUUCAGUAGCGUCUCUGCAAGGUGGAGAGUUGCAGCAUCAAAACUUCAUUGUGUCUGGGUUUAAACUUAAGUCAGGCUGCACUACUUUUUCUUUCCCAUUAUCUGUAUUAUCUUUUCUUUCUCUUCACCCUCCACCUUUUUUUUAAAAAAAAACCAAACAACUUUGGCUUGGAUUAUGUUUUUCAUAACACUUACUGCUUCCUCUAUUAUUUCCCUCCUUCCAAAAAGGCUAUUGAUGUUGCAUUGCUAAGCCCAGUACAAAUGAGAGAGCUCAUUUCAAUUCUGCCAUUCAUCAUUUGCCAUCAGAAGAGCGCUGACAUUUUGUGGUGGGUGUACGUUGUUUAGAUGCAGCAGUCGGCACUAAAAGGCUAAUCCAUUUGCCAACAUUUUGCAUAUUAAGAAUGUUAUAAGUCACCGUGAUAUUCCAUCAUCAUUGUGUAAGGGACAACUCAUUACACAUUAUUACAUAAGGUACCACUGGAUUUACAGUACCAAUGGAAGAAUGACAUCUCAUUAGCAAUACGCAAGGUAAAUACCCAACUCAAGUGACAGUCACUAUUCAAAGUUCAACUCCGUGGCAACGGAUGCGAUUCUAUGCACAUCUCUAACAGCUCUAUUACCUUUGCAAACCACUGUGGUGAUUUUCAGCUAACCUAUCAUGACCUAUUGCUGUGCUUAUUUCAGUUGUCAGAACGAACGUGGUAUGAAACCUGUACCGAAUGGGGUUUGCUACCACAACAGAAUGGCUUGAGUAAGGCUCUGAAAACUACAUAGUCAUUAGAAACAUAGGAUAUAUCCUAGAAAGGUGAACUGAAAGGCCUGUGCAGUGCCACGCUCAGAGCCUUGUGCCCAGUCCCUCUGUGCUGCCACAACAAGAACAAGGCACAUUUUGAAAGACAUCACCAGAACUACAGCUGCAGGAUAUGCCUGGAUAUGGAAAGCUCCUCAUGUUUACUGAGAAUUUACAAAGCUGCUUCAUAAGCAGGAGCUCUGCAAGACUAGAACAUUGAGACUUUAUCAUAUUAUGCUCAGAAUAAAUGGAGUGCUUUAAGAUUCAGCAUUUCUCCUGUCUUCUCCUAGCUUCCACCCAUUUACUAUAGCUAAGUUGAGGCUUCCCCACAAAAAAAAUGGGACAAUGUUAGGUGCUUAAAACAGCAUGAGAAGCACUGGAGGGAAAUUCUGGUUCUUGUUUGGGAAGAGGAAGAAGAGAAAAAAAAAAAGACUCACAGUCUGGGUGGUUCAGACAGGGAAAUAGUCUUCUCCAAAGCUACCCUUAGCAUUUUCUCAAGAAUCUUUAUCUCUAGCAGGGGGAGGGGGUUGGUGGUGAUUCUCUAGUCCCCCUGACAGCACAAAUCCAUAAUGGCCCAUGCAUUUACACCUAGCUAAGACCUAACCCCAAAACUAUGUUUGUAUAUAUCUAUAUGUGUACUUGUAGCAAUGAUUAUUAUUCCCGCUGAAAGUGAAUGGAACUCCUCCUCUGUAUCAGUUAUACAGAAUAAAGGUGCAGCAAGUAUCUCCAAUUGUUAACUGCUC
rnacentral:lncRNA from 1 species